UGUUCUGCUGGUCCUGUUGUGUGUGCAGGUUUUCCUGCUCAGCACAUCCUUUACCUCUACUGACGCAGCCGCUCUGGUGACAGAAGCUCAACAACAACAGCAACAAGAGUCUCCUGAUCUGCUGGAGGGAGUAAGUGUGCAUGACAGAGAAAGGAGAAGACAAAGAAGUAAACGACGAGCACUCAACUGCAGGUUCAGGCCGGGUGGAUGUUCAGUCUUAUUAAAGAUUGACCUCGAUGGCGAAGACAAAAAGAUUCCAAAUACACCAAACCCUCAAUUGUUGGCUUUGGACAAAACAAGACUAGCCAAGCCAGACUAAAUUCCUGAAGACAGAUGUGAAAACCUGCAUCUUCUCUUCAAGAUAGCUUUUCUCUUUUGCUUUGCCAUGUGGUGACAAUCAUCAAUCAUUGCAUGAACCUUGCAUUGUGAAUGGAAAGUCUGUGUUGACAUGGCAAUAAAGUAUUAAACAUGAACUUGUUCUGCUCACAUCAUCUAAUUGUCAGUAUUGUUCCACUGUAUGUGCACCUCAGCUCCUCAGAA